ensembl:miRNA
UAUAUUGGGUUGGCCAAAAAGUUUGUUCAGGGUUUUUCUAAGAUGUUACGGAAAAAUCUGAAUGAACUUUUGGCCAACCUAAUAUA